UACGUAGGGUGCAAGCGUUGUCCGGAAUUAUUGGGCGUAAAGAGCUCGUAGGCGGUUUGUCGCGUCUGCUGUGAAAACUCGGGGCUUAACCCCGGGCCUGCAGUGGGUACGGGCAGACUAGAGUGCGGUAGGGGGAGACUGGAAUUCCUGGUGUAGCGGUGAAAUGCGCAGAUAUCAGGAGGAACACCGGUGGCGAAGGCGGGAUCCUGGGCCAGUACUGACGCUGAGGAGCGAAAGCGUGGGGAGCAAACAGG
rnacentral:rRNA from 1 species